ensembl:lncRNA
AUAGGGUCCACUCCAUGGUUACCAGGGGUGAUUCAGAUAGGGUCCACUCCAUGGUUACCAGGGGGGAUUCAGAUAGGGUCCACUCCACGGUUACCAGGACGGAUUCAGAUAGGGUCCACUCCACGGUUACCAGGGGGAUUCAGAUAGGGUCCACUCCACGGUUACCAGGGGGGAUUCAGAUAGGGUCCACUCCAUGGUUACCAGGGGGAUUCAGAUAGGGUCCACUCCACGGUUACCAGGGGGAUUCAGAUAGGGUCCACUCCACGGUUACCAGGGGGAUUCAGAUAGGGUCCACUCCACGGUUACCAGGUCAGCUUCAGAUAGGGUCCACUCCACGGUUACCAGGGGGAUUCAGAUAGGGUCCACUCCACGGUUACCAGGUCAGCUUCAGAUAGGGUCCACUCCACGGUUACCAGGUCAGCUUCAGAUAGGGUCCACUCCACGGUUACCAGGGGGAUUCAGAUAGGGUCCACUCCACGGUUACCAGGUCAGCUUCAGAUAGGGUCCAUUCCACGGUUACCAGGGGGAUUCAGAUAGGGUCCACUCCACGGUUACCAGGUCAGCUUCAGAUAGGGUCCACUCCAUGGUUACCAGGUCAGCUUCAGAUAGGGUCCACUCCACGGUUACCAGGUCAGCUUCAGAUAGGGUCCACUCCACGGUUACCAGG